CGGCAACAGCUCAAAUUUGAAAUCUGGCCCUUGUGGUCCGAGUUGUAAUUUGUAGAGGAUGCUUUUGGUGCGGUGCCUUCCGAGUUCCCUGGAACGGGACGCCAUAGAGGGUGAGAGCCCCGUCUGGUUGGACACCAAGCCUCUGUAAAGCUCCUUCGACGAGUCGAGUAGUUUGGGAAUGCUGCUCUAAAUGGGAGGUAUAUGUCUUCUAAAGCUAAAUACCGGCCAGAGACCGAUAGCGCACAAGUAGAGUGAUCGAAAGAUGAAAAGCACUUUGAAAAGAGGGUUAAAUAGUACGUGAAAUUGUUGAAAGGGAAGCGUUUGUGACCAGACUUGGGCUUGGUUAAUCAUCCAGCGUUCUCGCUGGUGCACUUUGCCAGCCCAGGCCAGCAUCAGUUCGCUGCGGGGGAUAAAAGAUCCGGGAAUGUGGCUCUUCGGAGUGUUAUAGCCCGUUUCUUAAUACCCUGUGGUGGACUGAGGUUCGCGCAUCUGCAAGGAUGCUGGCGUAAUGGUCAUCAACGACCCGUCUUGAAACACGGACCAAGGAGUCGUCUUCGUAUGCGAGUGUUCGGGUGUCAAACCCCUACGCGUAAUGAAAGUGAACGGAGGUGGGAGCCUCGGCGCACCAUCGACCGAUCCUGAUGUUUUCGGAUGGAUUUGAGUAAGAGCAUACGGGGCCGGACCCGAAAGAAGGUGAACUAUGCCUGUAUAGGGUGAAGCCAGAGGAAACUCUGGUGGAGGCUCGCAGCGGUUCUGACGUGCAAAUCGAUCGUCAAAUAUGGGCAUGGGGGCGAA
rnacentral:rRNA from 1 species